AUGAUCAGUGAUAUUUAGGAGAUAAAAUUAUAAUGACUUGGGGAGUGCUGGUAAUCUAUGUGGGCUUUACCUAACUAGUUCCUUCUAUUCUCUGUGCCCCAUACCUCUACAGAGUCGACAGUGGAGAGAGCAAGGACUCAGGUAUCAGACACAUUAAUCCCAGUUUACUACUUAGCUGCUGUGUUACCUUGGGCAAGUCACCUAACUUCUCUGGACUGCAGUUUUCCUCAAACGGGGGCCAUAUGAAGCAUGAUCACAGAGGGCUUUCCCUUCCUGCUUAUCUCCGAGCAAAAGCUGAAAAGAAAGCUCCUGGAGCAGGACCUGGAGGAGGCCACUGUCUGGCUGGAUGGAGAAAGGGGAGGCACAGAGAGAGCAGGGGCCGGGAAGUUGACAGGAACAGGCUAAAGGAGGUUCGGAGAAGAAGUCCACAGAACUAAUAAGUGGUGGGACCUGGUGCCACCCACAGCCCUUGGUCUCCAACACUCUUCACCUCACACAGCUCUCCUGGCAGUGCUCAGAGAAGGCUGUGUCCUCCUCACUUCCACAGAAGUUGGCAUCCUAUGUGGUCAAAGCUCAGUUUGCCAGAAGGACGCCGUGGGGUGAUCAUACCUUCCUGCAUCUGAACGUGUCCUCUGACCAUGCCUUCUGUAGGAGCCGAGGCAUUGUAAGAGUGGUAAAUGCAAUUAAGAAUGGGAAUGACCUUAAUGUGCAACAGCAGUGGAUUGGGUAAACAAAUUUUGGUCUCCCCGUUUAAAAUAUCCUAUCUGGCUGUCAGAAUGAUAAGGCAGAAGAAUAUUUAACUUCAUGGAAAAAUGCUCCUGACGUAUUGGGACAUUGAAGAAGUACACUUACUUUCUUUCUUUCUUUUUAUUUUUAUUUUUUUGCGGUAUGCGGGCCUCUCACUGCUGUGGCCUCUCCCGUUGCGGAGCACAGGCUCCGGACGCGCAGGCACAGUGGCCAUGGCUCACGGGCCCAGCUGCUCCACGGCAUGUGGGAUCUUCCCGGACCGGGCCACGAACCCGUGUCCCCUGCAUCGGCAGGCGGACUCUCAACCACUGCGCCACCAGGGAAACCCGAAGAAGUACACUUUCUAAGCAGUGGGUGCUGUGUAGCAACAAUAACACAUACAUAAUAACAAAUUAAUAAAAGAGGAACUAACCUUUACCUGAAACCCUUGAUCCUUGAGUAUAGGUCCCAAGCCAACAUCCAAAGUUAAAAGGGAUCCUGUCUACCCCAAGGUAUGAAAUCAAAUUCACCCUCUCCCACCCUUACCCCCUACUCUGUCCCCAGCACCCCAUAAUUCCUCAUGACCUUGAAGUCUACAGUUCAUAUCCUGUGGAGGGAAAGUGCAUCGGCUGCUCCCCUACCCUCACCUCUACCUGGGGUUUUGUGAAUCGACUCCUGGAAUACUGUGGGUAUUGAGAACAUUCUAAAUAAUCAUAGUUUUUUUCUUUACUUUUACCUGGACCACUGGAAAGCUCCCGCCCUCUUUUUCUUGGAGGAAGAGUAGGGCUGAGUGAUUAGCUAAAGGGUGGGAAAUGACAGCCAUUUGUUAUCCUGGAAGAAGAAGUCCCCCCACUGCAGGCGAAAUGAGGAAAAAUAGAACUAAAAUCUAGCCACAACCUAUGUUACAAGACACUGGAUUUCUUUUUCUAAAGAUCCUCUGAGAUGGGAUAAAGAUUUAUGUAUUCAGCCACCUUAGAAUAGUGUGCGUCAGCGUGAGGGUCAUUAGCCAUUAUCGCUGUGCUGUCCAGUCCAGUAGCUACUAGCCACACGGGGCUUACGGCACGCUUGAAACGUGGCUAGUCUGGAUUGAGAUGUGCUAUAAAUGUAAAAUACACACUGGAUCAGGAAGACCUGGCAUGUAAAAAAAAAAAAUGUAGCCGAUCUCAUUACUGAUUUUUAAAAUAAUAAUCGAAAUGAUAAUAUUUUGGCUAUAUUGGAUUAAAUAAAAUAUAUUAUUAAAUUUAAUUUAACCUUAAACAUUUCCUUAAGUUAAAAACUUUUUUAAAGCCCUGUGGUCUCAGUGCCUCAACACAGCACCUAUUAAUUUCUCAUGUAAGCUCCGUGCCGGUGCAGCCAAAGCAGAUGUGCAGAAGGUCCUGCUCGUCAUGGUCACGCAGGGACUCUGGCUGAGGGAGCAGCUGCCAUCUAGAUCACUGUCAGUCACCUUGCCAGAGGGAAAGCCAGAGCUCUGGAGGAUAUGGCCCUGGCAAUUAAAUGUUCUGGCCUAGAAGUGACACCGGUUGUUUCUGCUCACAGCUCAUUGGCUGGAACUAGUCACAUGGCUCUACUUAACCACAAGGGGGCAGGGCGAUCCUACCCUGUGCCCCAAAGGCAGAGAUCCAGAAAUACUUGGUGGACAUGACUAGCUUGGUUUCUAUCGGCUUUUUAAAAUUUCUUUAGAAUAUAUAGAAUUGAAUAAUAGUAAAAAGUAGAGUGGAAUAAAAUAGGAAAUAUCAGAGGGCUUCACAAAAUUUUAAAGUUAUGAUUGAGGCUCAAUAAAUAUUUGUGAGAUGGUGAAAAUUCUUUCUGAAAAGGAAUCAUAGCCACAACGAACAUGUCUUUCUUGCUUUAUCACUAACAAAGUGUUUGCCCACUGGUUAUCUCAUGUGGGGUAUUAUGGGCCCCCUUUAUGGAUGACGAAACUGGCUCAGAGAGGUGAGUGAUCUGCCCGGGUCACGCCGUCAAAUGGCAGAGCUGGGACUUGGGACUAGUAAGAUACUAAUGCAACUCCCUCAUCAAACCCCAAACCUUUUUCUCUUUCAUUUAUCAACCCCGAUAACUUGCUAUUCUUUACUUCUUUUAAUAAUACUAACAUUUAACAUAUACUGAGUUUAAUACUAUUAUCAUUGCUAUUUUAUAGCCAAGGAAACUGAGGCUCAAACAGAUGAGAUGACCACCCAAGGUUACACAGCCCCUGGUAAGCUCGGCAGGACUUGGGUUCAUAGGCAGGUCUAUGAGAGUCAAGGCUGUAGUUGUAAUGCUCUUGCCACUCUGGCUUUUUGAGCUGGUUCUGGAAAUCACUUGAAUGGCAUAAUGGGUAAGUUUUGAGGGAACUUCCCAUGAUUGUUUGGUUCACGUGGUUCCAGCAACUCCUGCCUAUUACCUUGGGCCCUUCUUACAUUCCUAAUCCCAGAGGGGCAGAGAGUUUGAGAUCCUGCAUAGAAUCUGGAGCCUCAAUAAUCCACGGACAUUAAGAAACACACACGCGCGCACACUAAACAAAAGAUAAAGACUCCCUGAUAUUAGUAAGUGGAACCAGAUGACUAAGUUAUGCCAGGGUUACAUUUUAAAGAUCCUGUUUCAUUUCUAGCUUUAUGGGGCUUGAUGUAAGCUUUUGGAAAUGUACUUUUAUGAGAUUCAAAGAUAGUUAUUCUACAUGUCCUUUAAAAGUGCCCAUAUCAUAAAUAAUAAUAACUAAUAUUUAGUUCCUGCUAUAUGCCAGGCACUGUGCUAAGACAUUAACGUGGAUUAUUUCAUUUAACCCUCAAUGACAUCAGUGAGGUAAAUGUAACCCAGGACUGUGGAAGUGAGAAGAAACCUUAUGAUACGUGUGGAAGUGGCCUUAGCUGGGAUUCUCAAGUACUGAUGAGAUCCAGCCUCUGCUCUGCCUCUAACUGCAAAUUACUUAUGGGCACUUUGAUCCUUAGAUUUCACAUCUGCAACAUUCUACCUUUGAGCUGGAUGAUCUAGAAACUCCUGGAGAGGAGGGGCUUAUCUGAGCAGUGCUUAGCGCAAGAGGACUGCAUAAACAGCACUAUUAUGACAAUCCAGAUAGAGACCAUAUUUUCUGAAAUGAAAAUCGGUGUGUACAGUCUGGCAAAUGAAAGCCCUCAUAGAGACCAUGAACAGAGUAUUUGAAAUUGGAACUUCCCUGGAAACCCUGAGUUACAAAGUUUCAGUCUGGUUGCUAGCUUGUUUGCCACUGGGAAAUGAAGCAGCACUAAUUCUUAUCUUAUAACAUUGGUUCACACUUAUCCACUGCUCAUGGUGCACCAGACUCUGUGCUAAGACAUUUACAACGGUUGGCUCCUGUAGUCCUCACAACCACCCUAUGUGAUCAUCUCCAUUUCACAGAUGAGGAAGCUGGGGCUUCAAGAGAUGAGCCAUUUUCCCAGGGUCUCGCUACUGGUAGGAGAUGGAGUCCAGACUGGCGCUCUGACCCCAGGGUCCUCAUUCUUACCACCCUGCUUUCCCUUCUCCAGCGUACUGAGGACUUAGCUUGGGGAGGUAGAUCAAGAACAAGUCCAACCCAGGCCCUGCUCACAUGGAAGAUGAGCAGAACAUAUGCUUCGGGCUCUUUGCAGCCAGUUAUCUCAUGUAUUCCUCCCGUCAUCUUUCUGAGGUAUGCAUUACUAUUGACCCCAUUUGACAGAUGGAGAACUUGAGGCUCAGAGAGUUCAGACAAAUUGCCCAAGAUGAACUAGCCAAUGUGUGGCAAAGCCGAGAUUCAAACCCAGGCCUCUCUGACUUCAAAGCCUUGGCUUUAAGCCAGGGUUUCUCACCCUUGGCACAGCUGACAUUUGGGGCUGGACAGUUGGGAAGGGGGGACUGUCCUGUUCACUGGAAAAUGUCUGAUAGCAUCCUUGACUUCUAUCCACUAGAUGCCAGUAGAACACUCCUCCCCCAAUUGUGACAACCACAAUUAUCUCCAGACGUUGUCAAAUGUUCCCUGGGUGCAAAAUUGCUCCCCGCUGAGAACUCUUGCUUCCGGCUGGCUGACUGGGCCACCUCAGGACUGGGGACUCAGGCACAGUGUUGAAAAGAAACUUUCAUGAUCUUCUUUUAAGAGACUGAGAGCAGGUGUUCUGGCUCUGUGCCCCUGAAAUUAGCCACCCCCUGCACAGCAAGGUACCGACCGGGACCUGCAGCCUGCUGGAGAGAGUCAGGGACACCUGCGGGAACUUUUGUCUCUAGACCAGCCUGGUGUGCUCUCACCCAGCAGGCCCCGUCAUCCGUGCCUCUCUUGCCCGGGCUGAAUUUGUCUGGAGGCCUUUAAGGAAGCUGCCCGAUGAUUGUCUCCUGGCUCAGUUUAGCUUUAUCUCUAGUUUUUGAUCUUAAAUGGAACUAAUGACCAUUUGAGAUUCAGAUUCCGCACCAACUGCCCAGAACCUUCUCAAUGAGCAGACUGGAAGCCCCGUACAGCCUAAUUCACGGCUCGCACCUCAACAAAUGCCCCUGGCAAGUUAGACACCUGGAAUCCUUGCAGACAUCUCCCUCUCUAUCAAUGUGGAAUCUCAAGCCAUCACCAAGUCCUCUCAGUUUGGGAUUCUAAGCAUGAUUUGGACCCUGGGGUCUUGUGCAUCUCCGAUCUCCCCAAUCCAAGCCACCAUAGGCUACUGCAACAUCCUCUGAAAGGCACCCACAUCAUUCACUCCUGCCUCCCGGUCUGUUUUCACACUGUAGCUAUAGUAGCCUUUUAAAAAUGUUAAUCUGAAUCCACCCACCCACCUACCCCUUCACGCACAUCCCUACUCCUGUCCUAAGUCAUUCAGUGAUGCGUCCUGUCUUUCCCCUUCACUCUCUCUACUCCAGACAUACUGGCUUGUCUGUUCUCAAAAGUAUCAUAUUCUCUCCACUGCAGGGUUUUUGCAUAUGCUGUCCCCUCAGCCUGGGUGUUCUCACAAUCCCUCUUUGCUUAGGUAACUACACUCAUCCUUAGAGGAUGUCUUCCCUGACCACUUCUCACUCAACCCGAGUCUAGGUCCAUCUCCAUCGUUACAUGUUCUUAUAGCAGCCUCUCUCUCUUUCCUCACUUUUAUCUCAGCUUGCAGGGUUAUUUGGGGGUUGUUUAUUUGUUUAGAUUCCUCUUCCCCAUAAGACUGUAAGCUCCACAAUGGGAACAAUGUGUCUAUUUUUGCUCGUCGUUGCAUCACCAAAGCAUAGUAUAUUGCCUGGAAUAUAGCAGGUGCUCUUUACAUACUUAUUGAAUGGCUGAAUGAGCUCAUAUAAUCCUCCCAACAAGCCUGUGAAAAUUCUGCCUGAGUCCAGUGCUCUUUCCCUGCUCUGACUUCCUAUAGCGCCUGCUCUCUUGGCAUUAUAUGAUGGGGAGCAAUAGACGCUGAAAGACAUGAAGGGCUCUGGAGCCUGACCAACUGGAUUCAAAUCCCCGCUCUGCCACUUCCCAGCUGUGUGACAUUGGGUAAGAGCCUUAACAUCUCUGUGCUUUAGUUUCCUCUUCUAUAAAAUGCCAGUAAUAAUAGUACCUGUCUCAUGGGAUGGUUGUAAGGAUUAAAUAAGUGAGCUUCUACGAAUUCUGUUAUAAGAGUUUGGCACAUAGUGUGUGCCCCAUUAAUCUUAGUUACUAUUUGUAUUAUUAACAGAAAGAGCAUUGAUUCUGGGAUUAGAUGAGUCUGGUUUUCUCUCAUAUUUGCAAAUUAUUCCCUGGGUGGACAAGUCACGUCACACCCCUGAGCCUGAGUUUCCCCAUCUGUUAAGUUGGGAUCUCAAAGCCUACUUCAGAGAAGGCCGUCGUGAGAGUAGAUAGGAUGAGAACAAAGCACUCAGCACAGUGCCCAGUGCAUGGUAGUUCCCUUCCUGAUGGGUUGAAUUGGUCCCCGUUGCCUCUUAGACAAGAAGCUCCCUGAAGUUAGGCUUCACAUCUGCCUUAUUCAGGGCUGUUUUCCCCAGCCCCUCUGUCCCUGGCACAUAGUAGGUGUUCAACAAGUAGUUCUUUACUGAGUGAAUGAAUCAAUACUGACAGGGACCAUGCUUUGCUCAUCUUUGA